AUUGAACGCUGGCGGCAUGCCUUACACAUGCAAGUCGAACGGUAACAGGUCUUCGGAUGCUGGCGAGUGGCGAACGGGUGAGUAAUACAUCGGAACGUGCCCGAUCGUGGGGAAUAACGAAGCGAAAGCUUUGCUAAUACCGCAUAAGAUCUACGGAUGAAAGCAGGGGACCGCAAGGCCUUGCGCGAACGGAGCGGCCGAUGGCAGAUUAGGUAGUUGGUGGGAUAAAAGCUUACCAAGCCGACGAUCUGUAGCUGGUCUGAGAGGACGACCAGCCACACUGGGACUGAGACACGGCCCAGACUCCUACGGGAGGCAGCAGUGGGGAAUUUUGGACAAUGGGCGAAAGCCUGAUCCAACCAUGCCGCGUGCAGGAUGAAGGCCUUCGGGUUGUAAACUGCUUUUGUACGGAACGAAAAGACUCUUUCUAAUAAAGAGGGUCCAUGACGGUACCGUAAGAAUAAGCACCGGCUAACUACGUGCCAGCCGCCGCGGUAA
rnacentral:rRNA from 1 species